AAUGGGACAUUAGUAUUAGAGCAUAAGGAUAAGCGCGAUUUGGGGCUCCAUUUGCUGCAGUUUGCUUAGGUUGUUGAGGAGGCUUGUACCAAUUUGUUACCGAAUGUUGUGUGUGACUACCUCUAUAAUUUAUCCGAAAUCUUCUCCAAAUUUUACAGCAACCCUGAGUGCAAGGUUAUCGGGUCAGAUAAGGAAACAAGUAGACUACUAUUAUGUGAAGCAACCGCAGUGGUUAUGAGAAAAUGCUUCAAUCUCCUGGGAAUCACACAUAUUUACAAGAUAUGAUUGUACUUUGAAAGCUUUACAUAUAACCUAUUCUUUAGAAGGGUAGGUUAUAUAUUACUUCAUAUAAAAUUCUAUGUACCGAGACAAUUGUAUUCAGAUCUCAUUACUUUAUUUAUUUGGACAGUUUUGAUUGUG